rnacentral:rRNA from 1 species
GACGAACGCUGGCGGCGUGCUUAACACAUGCAAGUCGAACGGAAAGGCCCUUCGGGGUGCUCGAGUGGCGAACGGGUGAGUAACACGUGGGUGAUCUGCCCUGCACUUUGGGAUAAGCCUGGGAAACUGGGUCUAAUACCGAAUAUGAUCAUCGGCUUCAUGGUCGGUGGUGGAAAGCUUUUGCGGUGUGGGAUGGGCCCGCGGCCUAUCAGCUUGUUGGUGGGGUAAUGGCCUACCAAGGCGACGACGGGUAGCCGGCCUGGGAGGGUGACCGGCCACACUGGGACUGAGAUACGGCCCAGACUCCUACGGGAGGCAGCAGUGGGGAAUAUUGCACAAUGGGCGCAAGCCUGAUGCAGCGACGCCGCGUGAGGGAUGACGGCCUUCGGGUUGUAAACCUCUUUCAGCACAGACGAAGCGCAAGUGACGGUAUGUGCAGAAGAAGGACCGGCCAACUACGUGCCAGCCGCCGCCGUAA